GGGAGGUGUGGGCGAGGGGGGGGGGCAGGGAGCAGAUCAGAGGAGCUUAGCUUAGUCAGAGCCAGAGGCUUCCCCAUUCUACCUGGGGCUCUGGGGCAGCCCCCCACCAGCUUCCUGGGCAUCCCAGUUUCCCACAGUAUAAUAUGGAGGCGAAAAAAUGGGUGUUGGGCAUAGUUGCAGGCAAGUGUGCUGCCUGGCGCCUCCUGGGAGCUCAGGCGUUUUGGAGCUGGGACGGCUAGCAGCAGGGUUCCCUGCACCCUCUGACCCCUCCUCUCCCAGAACCAAAGCCUGUCCCUCGGGCUCUGACCUGGAUUCAUGGAGGGCUGUUCCUUGCUCCCUUGCGGGACACAGAGGGCCAGUUGGACCAGGAUGAAGGACAGGGCUCCUGGGAGCUGUGGGUUCCCUUCCCCCUGCAGCUCUUCAUGGGUUCCCAGAGUCAGGCCCACCCUGCCUUCAGCGCCUCUCACAGGCACCAUGUGCCUGCUGAGAGGUCAAGGCUCUCAGACCAUGUGCAGACUUUUCAUUUAUUCAUUCAAUCAGAAGCCGUGGUAAAGCUGGGGCUCCUGAACUUACAGUCACACGGUGAGAGCUGAAGUGAAGGCUGUUUGUUCCCGCACACCUGCAGCUUCCAGAGCAUCUUACUCUGCCCUCCCCCUGCUCCCCCGGAGUCCCAGUGCCUGGGACUGUGCUUGGAGCUCAGUGAACGAAAGAAUGAAUGAAUGAAGAGGGCUGACAGCCUGUGCCAAGUGACAGGGGUGCAGCAAUGAGCAAACCACCCAGAUGCCCUGAUGUGCAAUGCACGAUUUGAAAAAGGGAAGACCACCUGCUUAGGGAGUCUAGCUGUUGCUGGAGAGUCAGGACCCCUCUCAGUGUGGGCAUCCCAGGGCCAUUCUGGGGCACAGACCAGUGGCUUUGGGGGCCUGGUGUGGAGCCGACAUUUCAAAAAAGCAGUGCUGGCAUCCUGGCUGCUCUCUUUCUCUGCUCCGCCCAGCACAUCAGAAAGGUCUCUCCCUGCAUCAGCACAACCGGUUCUAAACGGGUCAUCACGUUGAAAUGAGCGAGGACCGCGACAGGCACCCGUGAUGGGGAGAUGAGAUGUGGUCGCUCCGUAUAGUGGAGAAGUGUCAGUCACAGCAAGGAAUGAAGCCCUGAUAUGGACCACAGUGUGCACGAAGUUGGUGAAUGAAGUCAGUCAGAGCAGGUCUUAGCUGCAGCACAUAGGAUCUUCAUUGCAGUGUGCAGGAUCUUUACUUGCAGCAUGCAAAGUCUUCGUUGCAGCAUGCAGGAUCUAGGGGUCAAAUCCGGGUCCUCUGUGUUGGGAGAGCAGAGUCUUAGCUACUGGACCGCCAGGGACAUCCCAGACAGCCCACUUAAAAAUGGAGACUGUUGUGCUAUGUUAAUUGUAUCUCAAUAAAUCUGUUAUUUAAAAAUCACUACUGAGAACAUAUGUUUAAAAAGCUUUAUGUUCAUUUUAAAGUUUUUUCCAUUUUGAAAUGAUCACACAGAUGGGUGAGUGUGUAAGACUGCAUGUGCACGCCUGGAGUGUAUGACAUGAGCACUGGCCCCAGCUCCUGGGUGAAGCAUGAGCUUGUGAUAAUUUUUCUUCAAAGUUCUCUGUAUAGCCCCUUCCCCUAACUGCAUCCCCUUCAACCAGACCAGAGGUACCCAACCCACAGGUAUUUGUGUUAACCAUCUCCUUGACUUGUUUUCCAG
ensembl:lncRNA